rnacentral:rRNA from 1 species
UUCGCAAUGCCCGAAAGGGUGACGAAGCGACGCCGCGUGUGGGAAGAAGGCCUUCGGGUUGUAAACCACUGUCGGGAGUUAAGAAAUGCAAGGGUGCUAAUAGUAUCCUUGCUUGACUAAGGCUCCGGAGGAAGCCACGGCUAACUCUGUGCCAGCAGCCGCGGUAAUACAGAGGCGGCAAGCGUUGUUCGGAGUUAUUGGGCGUAAAGAGCACGUAGGCGGCUAUGUAAGUCGGUUGUGAAAGCCUUCCGCUCAACGGAAGAACAGCAUCCGAUACUGCAUGGCUUGAGUGCGGGAGGGGAGAGUGGAACUUCUGGUGGAGCGGUGAAAUGCGUAGAUAUCAGAAGGAACGCCGGCGGCGAAAGCGGCUCUCUGGCCCAUAACUGACGCUGAGUGUGCGAAAGCUAGGGGAGCAAACGGGAUUAGAUACCCCGGUAGUCCUAGCCGUAAACGAUGGGCACUAAGUAGAGGGGUUUU